AGCGGAAUGCCAAAAACACGUAAAUUACCAAACUUUCUUGACUAAAAAGAAAAAGCAGCUCAAACCGGACCCCACUACAAAAAGUUGUUUGUGGUGAACUUUUAGAAGAAUUCAUUACAUUUGACAGGGAUUGAUUAUUUUUGUAGGGAACAGCAAUUUAGUUCUUGCGAAAAGACUAUGGUCAAUUCUUGUGCAUUUAUGCUAGUAAGUUAAAACUAUAACAUAAAACUUAGACAUAUUAGAUUUUUUUUAACAUUUCUUGUAAAGUUGUAGGGAUGAAAAACAAUACUUUUCAUUUGUCAGGAUGAUUAAUGUUGAUGAAUCUCAGACGUAGUCCUGGUCCUCAAAAUUCCUAAUAUGUCGUACAAGAAGGUCGAGAUCUUGUGGUAUUAUAAAGUUAGUGAAUGGAUUUCCAAAUCUUCUUAAGGGAACACAUUUAAUCUUGGAAUCAUAUUUAAACCUGUGUCAAAUCAAUUUGAAUCAAGUGACUUAAUUACUAAAGUGUUACUACGUUAUUUUACCAAACAAUGAGAAUCCUUUGAUAAGCAGUUGAUGAAGCAAUUGAUUGUAGUUGCUGUAAUGCAAAGGGAAAAUAGUAAUUUUCACUAAAUUCUCUUUGAUUGAAAAGGUCUCCUUCAAGAAAAGGUGCGAUGACGAUGACGUAUUUUCCUUUUUGAUUCAAUCGUGAAAGGAACCAGCUUAUACCUUCUUGGGCCACACUCUCCCACUGAUGUUCGUCCGUGUGAUCGUCGAUCUGUUUGAGUCUCGCAUGCAAAGAGUCUUUUAGCAUCUUGACAGAACUUCGUAAUCGCUCGUCAUUAGAAUGAAGGAGAAAUAUGGCUACUGAUGACAUUUGCCCAUGUGUACUUCUGUCGCUGCAUUUCCUCUUCUUUGCUUCGUUGUGUUUCUUCCUUAGAAAAAUGACGGUCGCCGUCAAACAGCUUAAUAAAAGAAAAUUUACCAAUCCAGUGACAACUAUUUUCUGGUGAUUCGAGUCGUGUUACUUGAUCUUGUACAUGGAAGAUUUGUCGACGAAAGAGGAUAUAUGCAUCUGACAUCGACGGGGGUAACCUGUUGGAGCAAAAUAAAAUUAAUUCAAAAUAGCAGCCGCUUGGUUAUACAUAUGUUGAUUAAAGAAAGAAAGAUAACAUGAGCAACGAUAACAAAUCGCAAGGAAAGGUAAACAAUUGCCUCUAGCAGCAAUACAUUAAACAAAACAAAUUAAUAGAGGCUUUGCAAAAAGAAAGUGAGAAAUCAUAAGAAUAAAGAAACGGCCUCUCCUUCUCCUGUAAACAGCAAGUUUCCUCUUCGCACAGAACGGUUUUGAUCUCGUAAGUAUGCUGUUUAACAUAGUGCACUGUUAAAUGUCGUAAUCCAUUUAACGUUUUGCGGUUCCUAUGCGUUACAUCACUGUUCUUCAAUUUUCUGGAUUCCGUAAGAAAAUGGACUUAGUCUGAAUGUUCCGAUCCCGAAUCGUCUCUCAAUGUCAUCAGUUUUGAUUUGUCCGUCAUUUCUUACCCUUUUCACGCCCUGUCCAUAUAAAUUGACGACAGAAUGCUUUAGUUUGUAAAUUCCCUCCUUUAAGGCUAGGUUAGCUUUGAUGCUGGCUGUAGAAUGUUUUUCUUGAUCUGGAGAAAUACAGGAUAGGUAAGAGAAAGGUUGGCAGAUGCUGAAGCGACUCUGACCCGCCAGUGCUCUCGUUGGAUGGAAUUCUUGAAACUCGUUUAAGACAUGGUUUGAAAGAAAGGCUGCGAGUUGGAUUCGUAUCAGUAGUGACCAACUCGUUAUCUCUUUUUGAAAGCUCUCCCUCGGAAGACGCGGUAGGUUGGCCUUUCAACAAAUUACUGCUCAUUGACUGUCUUAUAGGAAUCGUGCGGGAUCCAAAAGACGUUUUGAAAGAAUCCUUAUUUUGGAUCUUGCGCAAGUUUUCGCCAACAAUGAGGUCGGCUGUCAACUUAUCACCACGAGAUACUGAUGUUGUUUUUGCCUGAAAGUAACUUUUUUUUUUUUACUAAGAAAACCAAGCUUAUCUAAUUA